GAUCCAGGUCGCUGACCAAAUGACUGUUGGCCGAUCCAAGAGGACGACGCUGCGUUUAGCUUAGCGAAACUUGCACAGGCCAUCGCGUCUGAAGUAAUGAUUAGAUCAGGAUCGAGAUCAGAGAUAGGAAGAAGGAAAGGUGUUUGAUAACUGACGUCUACGAGAAAAAAAGCUUUCUCGCGGUCACCGUGUGCUAUUCAGUAUUCUUCUGCUGUGUGUUUGGGUUAUUAACGAGACCGAAAAUGCGUUGAUGGCUUUUGCC
rnacentral:misc_RNA from 1 species